CCUACGGGAGGCAGCAGUGGGGAAUAUUGCACAAUGGGGGAAACCCUGAUGCAGCGACGCCGCGUGAGUGAAGAAGUAAUUCGUUAUGUAAAGCUCUAUCAGCAGGGCAGAAAAUGACGGUACCUGAGUAAGAAGCCCCGGUUAACUACGUGACAGCAGCCGCGGUAAUACGCAGGGGGCAAGCGUUAUCCGGAUUUACUUGGUGUAAAGGGGGCGUAGACGGCAGUGCAAGUCUGGAGUGAAAGGCGGGGGCUCAACCCCCGGACUGCUCUGGAAACUGUACGGCUGGAGUGCAGGAGAGGUAAGUGGAAUUCCUAGUGUAGCGGUGACAUGCGUAGAUAUUAGGAGGAACACCAGUGGCGAAGGCGGCUUACUGGACUGUAACUGACGUUGAGGCUCGAAAGCGUGGGGAGCAAACAGGAUUAGAUACCCCUGUAGUC
rnacentral:rRNA from 1 species